rnacentral:rRNA from 1 species
CCUACGGGAGGCAGCAGUGAGGAAUAUUGGUCAAUGGGCGAGAGCCUGAACCAGCCAAGUCGCGUGAGGGAAGACGGUCCUAUGGAUUGUAAACCUCUUUUGCCGGGGAGCAAAAAGAGGUACGUGUACCGCAUCGAGAGUACACGGAGAAAAAGCAGCGGCUAACGCCGUGCCAGCAGCCGCGGUAAGACGGAGGAUGCGCGCGUGAUACGGGUUUCUUGGGUGCACUGGGUGCGCAGGCGGAGAGUUAAGGCAGCGGUAAAAUGUCGGGGCCCAACCCCGACGAGACGUUGACACUGGCUUGCUAGAGUGGACGAGCAGUCUGCGGCAUGCGUGUUGUAGCGGU